rnacentral:rRNA from 1 species
UACGUAGGGUGCGAGCGUUGUCCGGAAUUAUUGGGCGUAAAGAGCUUGUAGGCGGUUUGUCGCGUCUGCCGUGAAAGCCCAGGGCUUAACCCUGGGUCUGCGGUGGGUACGGGCAGACUAGAGUGUGGUAGGGGAGACUGGAAUUCCUGGUGUAGCGGUGAAAUGCGCAGAUAUCAGGAGGAACACCGGUGGCGAAGGCGGUGCUCUGGGCCAGUACUGACGCUGAGGAGCGAAAGCGUGGGGAGCAAACAGG